rnacentral:rRNA from 1 species
GACGAACGCUGGCGGCGUGCUUAACACAUGCCAGUCGAACGGAAAGGCCCUGCUUUUGUGGGGUGCUAGAGUGGCGAACGGGUGAGUAACACGUGAGUAACCUGCCCUUGACUUUGGGAUAACUUCAGGAAACUGGGGCUAAUACCGGAUAGGAGCUCCUGCUGCAUGGUGGGGGUUGGAAAGUUUCGGCGGUUGGGGAUGGACUCGCGGCUUAUCAGCUUGUUGGUGGGGUAGUGGCUUACCAAGGCUUUGACGGGUAGCCGGCCUGAGAGGGUGACCGGCCACAUUGGGACUGAGAUACGGCCCAGACUCCUACGGGAGGCAGCAGUGGGGAAUAUUGCACAAUGGGCGGAAGCCUGAUGCAGCAACGCCGCGUGCGGGAUGACGGCCUUCGGGUUGUAAACCGCUUUCGCCUGUGACGAAGCGUGAGUGACGGUAAUGGGUAAAGAAGCACCGGCUAACUACGUG